AGUGAACGCUGGCGGUAGGCCUAACACAUGCAAGUCGAACGGCAGCACAGGAGAGCUUGCUCUCUGGGUGGCGAGUGGCGGACGGGUGAGGAAUACAUCGGAAUCUACUCUGUCGUGGGGGAUAACGUAGGGAAACUUACGCUAAUACCGCAUACGACCUACGGGUGAAAGCAGGGGACCUUCGGGCCUUGCGCGAUUGAAUGAGCCGAUGUCGGAUUAGCAAGUUGGCGGGGUAAAGGCCCACCAAGGCGCCGAUCCGUAGCUGGUCUGGGAGGAUGAGCAGCCACACUGGAACUGAGACACGGUCCAGACUCCUACGGGAGGCAGCAGUGGGGAAUAUUGGACAAUGGGCGCAAGCCUGAUCCAGCCAUACCGCGUGGGUGAAGAAGGCCUUCGGGUUGUAAAGCCCUGUUGUUGGGAAAGAAAUCCAGCUGGCUAAUACCCGGUUGGGAUGACGGUACCCAAAGAAUAAGCACCGGCUAACUUCGUGCCAGCCGCCGCAGUAA
rnacentral:rRNA from 1 species